rfam:Bacillus galactosidilyticus strain PL133 scaffold000109, whole genome shotgun sequence.
AGAUGGUGUACAAAAGCUAAAGUCGCGACGUCCUGUCGCAACGCCCUCGUGACUUACAUCCUGUAGG